AUUUAAAGAGACCUAUGAAACCCACUGGACUGCAGCCUGCAGGAAUGGAGGUGGCCAUGUCUGGCUUAAAGGACUGAGAAGGCCAAAUAAAAGCAAAAAAGAGGAGCAGUAUACCUGAGUGGAAGGCAUCGGCGAAGGUUCAGCUGCUGUAAUUGGUUACACGGUUGUUGGCAAAGGAGAAAACAAUCAUCAGUUGUUAAAGGAAUUUUAAAUGUUCAACAUAGCCGUCCUGAAAAGGCCUUUCGUUGUAAUCUGCAUCUACGCUGCUUAUUUCAAAAGUGAAAUUUUACUUAUGUUUUAAUUUCGUAUUCCUUU